UAUGUGACGUCACGCAUUCUGGAGCAUGAAAAAAUGAAUCGCUAUGCAUACGGACUACCAGAAGAAGUUGACGGAGCACCAGAGUUUGAAUCCAAACUGAAAAGAAAGCCUCCCAAAAUCAAAGUGGAUUUUGGAAAACUAGAAAAGACGAACAAGAAAAAGUAUGGUUCAAUGUUCAGUAUUUACAAGGGACCCGAAUGGGACCCAUUGGCCAAAACACCCCCGAUGGAGGGAAUAGACACGGUUGAAAUAGGCUACGAAACAGAAGAAGGAAACAAAAAGGUCAAAACAAGGAGGGUGAAGGACGUUAUUCGUGAGGCAGAGAAAGAAGUGGCGGAUUUGAAAGCCAAGGAAACUUCCACGGGGUUUACCCCUAGGGCAUCUGAAUCUAACAACAAAACCACGAAUGGUUUAGACUUGGACAGUGACGAUGAUGACGAUGACAUGUCAGAUAUUUUCGAAAGAGCAAGGAAGAAAUACAACUUGGAGAUAGACGAUGAAACGAUGUCGCGCAGCCGGAAGUGAUGUCAUUGAGUGACGUCAUUGAGCAAUCAUCGUUCUCAUUUCUUGUUCCUAUCGAUUUCGUUUUUGAAACAAAUGAGUUUCGAUUCAUCCCAUAGUGCUAUUUAGGAUCUCUUUGUUAUUCGAUUCAUUUUAUUUUCUUAGUUAUAUUUAUUAAUGUCUUUCAUAUUUAAUGUACAUUCAUGUUGGGGCACAGCUACCAUUGUUUUCUUGUCAAAUAAAAUCGUAAUCCUU
rnacentral:misc_RNA from 1 species